rnacentral:rRNA from 1 species
GAUGAACGCUAGCGGGAUGCCUUACACAUGCAAGUCGAACGGCAGCACGGACUUCGGUCUGGUGGCGAGUGGCGAACGGGUGAGUAAAGUAUCGGAACGUGCCCAGUAGAGGGGGAUAACUACGCGAAAGCGUAGCUAAUACCGCAUACGCCCUGAGGGGGAAAGCGGGGGAUCGCAAGACCUCGCGUUAUUGGAGCGGCCGAUAUCGGAUUAGCUAGUUGGUAGGGUAAAGGCCUACCAAGGCGACGAUCCGUAGCUGGUUUGAGAGGACGACCAGCCACACUGGGACUGAGACACGGCCCAGACUCCUACGGGAGGCAGCAGUGGGGAAUUUUGGACAAUGGGGGCAACCCUGAUCCAGCCAUUUCGCGUGUGCGAUGAAGGCCUUCGGGUUGUAAAGCACUUUUGGCAGGGAAGAAAAGGUUUGGGCUAAUACCCUGAGCCGCUGACGGUACCUACAGAAUAAGCACCGGCUAACUACGUGCCAGCCGCCGCCGUAA